CGCAGGCGGCCAGGUCAGUCGAACGUGAAAGCCCCCGGCUCAACUGGGGAGGGUCAUUCGAUACUGCCUGGCUUGAAGAUAGGAGAGGGAAGUGGAAUUUCAGGUGUAGUGGUGAAAUGCGUAGAUAUCUGAAGGAACACCAGUGGCGAAGGCGACUUUCUGGCCUAUUCUUGACGCUGAGGCGCGAAAGCUAGGGGAGCGAACG
rnacentral:rRNA from 1 species